rnacentral:rRNA from 1 species
UACGUAGGGGGCAAGCGUUGUCCGGAUUUAUUGGGCGUAAAGAGCGUGUAGGCGGCCAAGCAGGUCCGCUGUGAAAACUCGAGGCUCAACCUCGAGACUUCGGUGGAAACCGUUUGGCUAGAGUCCGGAAGAGGAGAGUGGAAUUCCCGGUGUAGCGGUGAAAUGCGCAGAUAUCGGGAAGAACACCCGUGGCGAAGGCGGCUCUCUGGGACGGUACUGACGCUGAGACGCGAAAGCGUGGGGAGCGAACAGG